UGAAGCUCUUCCACAGCUUCUCACACUGCUCUGUUGACCUUAACCUUGUCACCAAGUCUGGGUGGUCCAGAUCCCUCUAGGAGUGAGACCUGCCAAACCAAGGGGAUCCUAGGGAAUGCAUGUUUGCCUUGAAAUGAGUAACAUCUUCAAUACCAGAUGCAUGGGCUGCUGGUGUGUUUAAAUAACACCAACCUAACAUAUUGGUCAUAAUAAAUAAGAAAAGGCAAAGUACUUCAAACUAGCCCUACUUGCUUUAUACUGCAUGGAUAAGAAUGAAGAGCAGUAGCAGGUUGAAAUUCAGCAACCCACAAACCAAUACAUGCGGUGACUGAAUAUGCCUAAAAGAAAAGAAAGCAAAGCCCAGUCAAUGAAGAUAACAAGGAUGGAGAUAAAAAUGGAGAUGAAUGGACAUAGAUAUGAGACAGAUGCAAACAAUAAAAGGAAAGGAGACCUAAAGGAGGAGACCUACAACUGAGCUUCUUGGAAGGAGAUAUAGCCAGAAUUUAGGAUUCGUUUCAGAGGAAUAUGUUUAUCAGGUUGAGUACCUGCAGAGCGACUUAGGAGGGAGUUCAGAAGGUUAAAUUCUUGGGCCACAGAUAUACCCCAGAACACCAAACCCAAUAGGUAUUCAAAUCAAUACAUAUUCAUUGGCUUGGUAAUAAUCUGUAAUCUAUCAACUGGUAACCUUAUAUUUAAACACAUUCCAAGUCUGAGUUUUAUUACUCAUGGACAUCAUAAAUAAACACUUAAUUUUAAAUUAUGGUAAGUCUAGAAGUAGAUAGAUUUAAAAAUAGAGGAGCACAAAAUAAGACCUGGAUGUGAGAGCUGGUCCUUCGCUGUUGCUGGUUGAUUAAACUGUUCCUUAUAGUUUUUUUUUUCCCAAAAUGUAAAAUAGAAAUAAUAAUGGUACCUGCCUCUUGUGGUUAUUUUGAUAACCAAAUUAUAUAUAAAUGCUUAGAAAAGUCUCUACAAAAUAGCAAAUUGCUACAUGUACUUACUGUCAUUAUUAUUACCGAUAUUAGCAUCAUCACAAAUUAAAGUGAUAUAAUCACCAUAAUUUGGUUCACCAGCCUCAGCAGACUUGGGUUAUGACCUAUUGUCUCAGUCCAUUUUCUGUUGGCAUUACAAAAUACCUGAGGCUGGGCAAUUUAUAAAGGAAAGAGAUUCAUUUAGCUUACCAAUCCAUUUUCAUGAUAACUAAUCCAUUCCCUCCAGAACUAACCCACUCCCUCAAGAAAGAUAUUAAUCCAUUUUAAUGAGCUAAUCACCUCUUAAAGGCAACACCUUCAAACUUUGGGGACCAAGCCUCAAUGUGAGUUUUGGGGAGAACAAACCACAUUCAAACCAUAGCAUCUAUGCUUUUCCAUUCGUUACCUUUAGCAAAUUCUUUAAUUAUAUUCUUUUACAUUCUCAUCAGGAAAUGCACAGAAUCAUUUAUUUUCUCAUUUCUAGAAUGGAAAAAAUCUGUAUACUAUUCAAAAUACUGAUGAAUAGAUUGGUCUUUCAAGGUCUGGUAAUUUUUCUUUACUUAUUCCAAUGAAAUGUGCAUUUAGAGUUGUGAGGACACUAAAACUAUUGGCAGAAUGGAUCACAUACAUCAAACAUGACACAGGGGCCAUCCAGAUUCUUUAGUAUACAAACAUCUAACCAACUACAGGGCUUGUCCUACUGCUUAGGGAAACAUGAUUUAUUGAAAUGAAAAUCGUUGUAGUAAUCUCAGUGGCAAUAUUUAAAUACUACACUUAGAUUACCAAUA